AAGGCCUUAGGGUUGUAAACCGCUUUCAGUAGGAACGAAAUUGACGGUACCUGCAGAAGAAGGUGCGGCCAACUACGUGCCAGCAGCCGCGGUGACACGUAGGCACCAAGCGUUGUCCGGAUUUAUUGGGCGUAAAGAGCUCGUAGGCGGUUGAGUAAGUCGGGUGUGAAAACUACUGGGCUUAACCCAGAGCCGCCACUCGAUACUGCUCUGACUUGAGUUCGGUAGGGGAGCAGGGAAUUCCCAGUGUAGCGGUGAAAUGCGCAGAUAUUAGGAGGAACACCGCUGGCGAAG
rnacentral:rRNA from 1 species